CUGCGGAAGGAUCAUUAUUGAAUGUCUGAAGCUAGUUGAGCUGGUUCUAACGGACAUGUGCUCGCUGCUUCUAUUCAUAUCAUCCACCUGUGCACUUAUUGUAGAGCUUUGGAGAAAGCCUUGGUUCACGCCAGGGUAAGUAUUCAGAGUUUCUAUGUUUUUAUAAACUCUAUGAAUGUCUAGAAUGUCUUUUAUUGGGACUUUGUUCCUUUAAACUUUAAAUACAACUUUCAGCAACGGAUCUCUUGGCUCUCGCAUCGAUGAAGAACGCAGCGAAAUGCGAUAAGUAAUGUGAAUUGCAGAAUUCAGUGAAUCAUCGAAUCUUUGAACGCACCUUGCGCCCUUUGGUAUUCCGAAGGGCAUGCCUGUUUGAGUGUCAUUAAAUUCUCAACUUCAAAAGCUUUUGUCUUUUUGAAGCUUGGACGUGAAGGCAUGCUGGCGUUCUUGAACGCUUUCAGCUCCUUUGAAAUGGAUUAGUGGACUCCUUUUUUGUGUUCAACCUUGGUGUGAUAAUUAUCUACGCUAUGGUGGCACUUGCUCUUUAGAACUUCGGGGUGUUUCUACAUUCUCGGUGUGGGGAGUUGCAUUUAUUGCUCUCUCUGUCUAUUGGGUUAGGAAUUGUCUGCUUCUAACUGUCUGCAUUUUGUGGACAACUUUUUGAACCAUUUGGCCUCAAAUCAGGUAGGACUACCCGCUGAACUUAAGCAUAUCA
rnacentral:rRNA from 1 species